UACAGAGGGGGCUAGCGUUGUUCGGAAUUACUGGGCGUAAAGGGCGCGUAGGCGGCCCGUCGAGUCGGGUGUGAAAGCCCGGGGCUCAACCCCGGAACGGCACCCGAGACUGGCGGGCUCGAGACCGGGAGAGGAGGGUGGAAUACCCAGUGUAGAGGUGAAAUUCGUAGAUAUUGGGUGGAACACCGGUGGCGAAAGCGGCUCUCUGGCCCGGUUCUGACGCUGAGGCGCGAAAGCGUGGGGAGCAAACAGG
rnacentral:rRNA from 1 species